rnacentral:rRNA from 1 species
CCUACGGGAGGCAGCAGUGAGGAAUAUUGGUCAAUGGGCGCAAGCCUGAACCAGCCAAGUCGCGUGAGGGAUGACGGUCCUAUGGAUUGUAAACCUCUUUUGUCGGGGAGUAAGGCCCGCCACGUGUGGCGGGAAGGAGAGUACCCGAAGAAAAAGCCCCGGCUAACUACGUACCAGCAGCCGCGGUAAUACGUAGGGGGCAAGCGUUAUCCGGAUUUACUGGGUGUAAAGGGAGCGUAGACGGCAGGGCAAGUCUGGCGUGAAAGGCAGGGGCCCAACCCCUGGACUGCACUGGAAACUGGCCGGCUGGAGUGCAGGAAAGGUAAGUGGAAUUCAUGGUGUAGCGGUGAAAUGCGUAGAUAUUAGGAGGAACACCAGUGGCGAAGGCGGCUUACUGGACUGUAACUGACGUUGAGGCUCGAAAGCGUGGGGAGCAAACAGGAUUAGAUACCCGAGUAGUC